rnacentral:rRNA from 1 species
UACGAAGGGGGCUAGCGUUGCUCGGAAUCACUGGGCGUAAAGGGUGCGUAGGCGGGUCUUUAGGUCAGGGGUGAAAUCCUGGAGCUCAACUCCAGAACUGCCUUUGAUACUGAAGAUCUUGAGUUCGGGAGAGGUGAGUGGAACUGCGAGUGUAGAGGUGAAAUUCGUAGAUAUUCGCAAGAACACCAGUGGCGAAGGCGGCUCACUGGCCCGAUACUGACGCUGAGGCACGAAAGCGUGGGGAGCAAACAGG